rnacentral:rRNA from 1 species
UACGUAGGGUGCGAGCGUUAAUCGGAAUUACUGGGCGUAAAGCGUGCGCAGGCGGUUCGUUGUGUCGGCGGUGAAAGCCCCGGGCUCAACCUGGGAAUGGCCGUUGAAACUGGCGAACUGGAGUGUGGCAGAGGGGGGUGGAAUUCCGCGUGUAGCAGUGAAAUGCGUAGAGAUGCGGAGGAACACCGAUGGCGAAGGCAGCCCCCUGGGCUGACACUGACGCUCAGGCACGAAAGCGUGGGGAGCAAAAGGG